rnacentral:rRNA from 1 species
AUACGGAGGAUGCAAGCGUUAUCCGGAUUUAUUGGGUUUAAAGGGUGCGUAGGCGGUUUGCUAAGCGGGAGGUGAUAUGCCGGCGCUCAACGUCGGAAGUGCCUCCCGAACUGGUGGACUGGAAUGACUCUGCCGUGGGAGGAAUGUGUAGUGUAGCGGUGAAAUGCUUAGAGAUUACACAGAACACCGAUUGCGAAGGCAUCUCACGAAGGGUUGAUUGACGCUGAGGCACGAAAGCGUGGGGAUCAAACAGGAUUAGAUACCCUGGUAGUCCACGCAGUAAACGAUGAUGGCUAACCGCUGGUUUAUUCGGAUCAGUGGCCAAGCGAAAGCGAUAAGCCAUCCACCUGGGGAGUACGACCGCAAGGUUGAAACUCAAAUGAAUUGGCGGGG